UACGAAGGGGGCUAGCGUUGCUCGGAAUCACUGGGCGUAAAGGCGCGUAGGCGGCCGGCCAAGUCGGGGGUGAAAGCCUGUGGCUCAACCACAGAAUGGCCCUCGAUACUGGACAGCUCGAGACCGGAAGAGGUUGGUGGAAUUGCGAGUGUAGAGGUGAAAUUCGUAGAUAUUCGCAAGAACACCGGUGGCGAAGGCGGCCAACUGGUCCGGAUCUGACGCUGAGGCGCGAAAGCGU
rnacentral:rRNA from 1 species